rnacentral:rRNA from 1 species
UUUUCGGAUGGAAUCUUGAUUGACUGAGUGGCGGACGGGUGAGUAACGCGUGGAUAACCUGCCUCACACUGGGGGAUAACAGUUAGAAAUGACUGCUAAUACCGCAUAAGCGCACAGUGCCGCAUGGCAGUGUGUGAAAAACUCCGGUGGUGUGAGAUGGAUCCGCGUCUGAUUAGCCAGUUGGCGGGGUAACGGCCCACCAAAGCGACGAUCAGUAGCCGACCUGAGAGGGUGACCGGCCACAUUGGGACUGAGACACGGCCCAAACUCCUGCGGGAGGCAGCAGUGGGGAAUAUUGCACAAUGGGCGAAAGCCUGAUGCAGCGACGCCGCGUGAGUGAAGAAGUAUUUCGGUAUGUAAAGCUCUAUCAGCAGGGAAGAAAAUGACGGUACCUGACUAAGAAGCCCCGGCUAACUACGUGCCAGCAGCCGCGGUAAUACGUAGGGGGCAAGCGUUAUCCGGAUUUACUGGGUGUAAAGGGAGCGUAGACGGCGAAGCAAGUCUGAAGUGAAAACCCAGGGCUCAACCCUGGGACUGCUUUGGAAACUGUUUUGCUAGAGUGUCGGAGAGGUAAGUGGAAUUCCUAGUGUAGCGGUGAAAUGCGUAGAUAUUAGGAGGAACACCAGUGGCGAAGGCGGCUUACUGGACGAUAACUGACGUUGAGGCUCGAAAGCGUGNGGAGCAAACAGGAUUAGAUACCCUGGUAGU